rnacentral:lncRNA from 1 species
CAAACGCCGUUUUCAGAUUUUCUAUCUUGUUUGGCUGAAUGAAAAGUAAUUCCAGGAAACGUGGUUUUGAUCUCAAAACGCCAUUACAACUGAAGCUGAUAUUCAUAGCUUCUGCUUUUGUGAAACUCAGUUUUGAUUUCAAUGACAUGUAUAGUUACCAAUAUACCCCCAUGUUUUCUUCUCCAAUUUCCUACUAGUAAACAUCUUUCUUCUUCUUCCUUAAAAAAAACAUCUUUCUUCUUCUCUAUUUUUGCAGAUCUGAAGAGGGAAAAUAAAUAAAUAAUAAUUUAACUUAAAACAAGAAAAGGAACUGAAAGAUUACAGAUCUGUUCUUAAUUGGUGAGUGAUAGAAAAAUGAUAUGAGAGAAAAAUAGUGAAAUGGGAAGGAGAAAGGUUAGAGUCAUGGAUCUGGAGGUGGAGAAGGAAAAAU